GUAGGGACUAUAUAACCUAAGUUCGCUCAUUCUUCCUUCCCACUUCCUACUCGCUUUUGAGGAUGUUGACUUCGAAAUCAUGGAGUUUUGCCCUUGCACAUUCUCAGAUCUCGGUCAUACUCCAACCAAACAGAUGACCCCCACGUUUAAAAUGGUGCAAUAAUAACCCCAUCAUACUCUGAAGCAGAUCCCUCCCCAACCAAAUGGAUAUUCCUGCAUUUGAAAGGAUUUGAGAACCCCAUCGUACUCUGAAGCAGAUCAUACUUCAAUCAAAUGGAUGGUCCUGAAUUUAGAAGGAUUCAAUAACCCCAUUAUACUCUGAAGCAGGCCAAGACCCAAUUCAAGAUGAUCAGGGGAGUUUUACAUGCCACCCAACAUGUUAAUGCCACACCUUCAGAGAGAAGCAGGUGGUCCAGUGUCUGGAGAAGAGAAUUUGGGUGGAAUGUUACAAAUUCUGCUUGGUGUUGCAGAUUAGUUCUAUUAAUAAACCCUGGAACUUAAGUGUGUUUGUUUAAUUAUUUAUCUAUUUUUUAUAAAUGGUUCAUAUUCAAGCUGGAAUUUUAUUUUCAAUAAACAAUUGGAUCUUUAA
ensembl:processed_transcript